rnacentral:rRNA from 1 species
AUGGAAAAGAAAGAUGCUAAGCCUAGACUCAUUAGAUGGGUUCUCUUGCUCCAAGAAUUUGACUUGCAUAUUAUUGAUAGAAAGGGAGCUGAGAACCCCGUUGCAGACAACUUGUCUAGGUUAGAGAAUGUUCUUGAUGACCCACUGCCUAUUAAUGAUAGUUUUCCUGAUGAACAAUUAGCGGUUGUCAAUGCUUCUCGUACUGCUCCUUGGUAUGCUGACUAUGCUAACACUACUAGGGAAAACCUUAUACAUAGAAGUUUAUUAGUAGCGCGGUUUAAAAAUGGGCGCUACUGCUAA